rnacentral:rRNA from 1 species
UACAGAGGGGGCAAGCGUUAUUCGGAAUUAUUGGGCGUAAAGGGCGCGUAGGCGGCUUGGCAAGUGGAUGGUGAAAUCCCUCGGCUUAACCGAGGAACUGCCGUCCAAACUGCUUCGCUUGAGACCGGGAGAGGUGAGUGGAAUUCCCAGUGUAGCGGUGAAAUGCGUAGAUAUUGGGAGGAACACCAGUGGCGAAGGCGGCUCACUGGACCGGUACUGACGCUGACGCGCGAAAGCGUGGGGAGCAAACAGG